GUGUCAGCAGCCGCGGUAAUACGUAGGGGGCUAGCGUUGUCCGGAAUCAUUGGGCGUAAAGAGCGUGUAGGCGGUCCGAUUAGUCGGCUGUGAAAGUCAAGGGCUCAACCCUUGAAUGCCGGCCGAUACUGUCGGGCUAGAGUCCGGAAGAGGUGAGUGGAAUUCCUGGUGUAGCGGUGAAAUGCGCAGAUAUCAGGAGGAACACCAAUGGCGAAGGCAGCUCACUGGGACGGUACUGACGCUGAGACGCGAAAGCGUGGGGAGCAAACAGGAUUAGAAACCCCUGUAGUCC
rnacentral:rRNA from 1 species